CGGGACGGGUGAGUAACGCGUGGAUAACCUGCCUCACACUGGGGGAUAACAGUUAGAAAUGGCUGCUAAUACCGCAUAAGCGCACAGUACCGCAUGGUACGGUGUGAAAAACCCAGGUGGUGUGAGAUGGAUCCGUGUCUGAUUAGCCAGUUGGCGGGGUAACGGCCCACCAAAGCGACGAUCAGUAGCCGACCUGAGAGGGUGACCGGCCACAUUGGGACUGAGACACGGCCCAA
rnacentral:rRNA from 1 species